rnacentral:rRNA from 1 species
ACUACCUACGGGGGGCAGCAGUGGGGAAUAUUGCACAAUGGGGGAAACCCUGAUGCAGCGACGCCGCGUGAGUGAGGAAGUAUUUCGGUAUGUAAAGCUCUAUCAGCAGGGAAGAAAAUGACGGUACCUGACUAAGAAGCCCCGGCUAACUACGUGACAGCAGCCGCGGUAAUACGCAGGGGGCAAGCGUUAUCCGGAAUUACUGGGUGUAAAGGGAGUGUAGGCGGGAAAGCAAGACAGAAGUGGAAA